rnacentral:rRNA from 1 species
UACAGAGGGGGCAAGCGUUGUUCGGAAUUACUGGGCGUAAAGGGCGCGUAGGCGGCCGCCUAAGUCAGACGUGAAAUCCCUCGGCUCAACCGGGGAACUGCGUCUGAUACUGGGUGGCUUGAAUCCGGGAGAGGGAUGCGGAAUUCCAGGUGUAGCGGUGAAAUGCGUAGAGAUCGGGAAGAACAUCGGUGGCGAAAGCGCUCUACUGGACCGCAACUGACACUCAGGGACGAAAGCUAGGGGAGCGAAUGGG